rnacentral:lncRNA from 1 species
AAACCUGAUACCCUUCCUUCCUCCAUCUCUAAAAAAUGGGGGAAGACAGAGAAAUGGAAUGAAAAAUCUUCAAAGCUGGAAGGACAAAGGGAGUUUCCUGUUCUAGGAUGUGAUGUGAAGGGAAAUUAGAAGAUGGACUGUCCUGAAGCAUAGACAUGACCCUCUCCAACUCAUCAUCUGAGAUCAGCUGUCCUGCUUAUAAAUGGGGAAAUAAAGACUGGAAAAUGUAUGUGAUUUGCUCAACAUCAAACAGUCAUCAAGAGCCUGUGUUAACAUCUGGCGUGGAUCCAAAACCCAUGUUCUUUACCGUGGUAAGUUGUUGCAAAGCAUUCUUUGAAAAAGAUGGAAGCCUUCUUCACUCAAAAUUGAUUAAUUUCUUCAAACACUUGACCUCCCAUGAAUACCAAGUCCAUGUUAUACUCAUGGUAUAUUUUAGUGUACUUAAGGUACACACAGUAAAAGAAAUUUAAAUUUCACAAUUUAGCACAGAUAGUUGGUUGCUGUGAAUGAAAAUGUUUCUUUUUGUGCGAAUGAGUUUAUAUGUGUUAUCCUAGGUUCCUUAAAAAAAGGUAGGUCAGAUUCCAAAGAAACUGUGUUCUAGAAAAUAAUAGUUUAAUGAAAAUCUAGGUUGUGGCCCACAGAAUUGUGACUCUAUACUUAUCAGACCAGAGAAUGAUGAUUCAGGCUUAUAACUAAAGAUCCUUGAGUGUUUUUGAGGGAUUUACACCUGGGUUCUUAUAUCGUGUCUCCUCUGUAAAUCUAGCAGGAAGACAAGGAAAUUGUUCUGUACCAUUUCACCACUGAGGAAACUGAGUCUAGAGGAGUUACAUUUUCUGCUGAAGAUCACAUAACUAGGGGAACUUGUUUCUACCUCCAGACAAUUUUCUGCUGUGACCCUAAGGUAGUAGGCAUAAAGGGCUGGGGGCUAUUCCUCAAGCUAAUUUGUGGAUAAAGAUUUAUUUUUCUUCUAGGCCUUAGGAUUAUAAUGGGAAAGCUUUCUCCUCCUGUAUUCAUCUUUAAUGUAAUUAGUAUAAACUGUGAGUCAGAAGGCUGGGUUUCAGUCCUGCUCUGUCACAUACCAACUGAUAAACUAGGUCACUUAACCUAUCUGGGGCUGUGUUUCCUCUUGUGAAAAAUGAAGAUAAUAGUGCUUAUCAUUCUUGUCCUAUGGGGCUGUGGAGAGCAUCUAACCAGAGACUGUAGGUGGUAAGAAAGUGGUCUCAGCAUUCAAGUCCUGGACAAGCUCUAGCCACCCAGCAUAACCUCUUCUUUCUUAAUCAUACCAUAAUUUUCUUUUGAAGAAUUGCUUAUCUUCUGUUAUGUGUGAUCUUGGAGGGGCUGUGAAUCAGGGUCUUUCUGCCUUCCUACUACAGUCGUCAAAAAUGUUCUGGAGGCCAUUGCAAGCUUCUCCCUCCACACCCCUCCUCACCCUCUGGCAUAGUCACAGGGCAAACACUGGAUCUAAGCCAAUCAGAUGGGCUCUUUCUUCUGGAACUGAAUCCUCAGCAGAAUGACAAAGAAAGACUAAACAAUGAUGACUCAAAUGAAUUGAUCCUUUGAUUCCACAUCAGCUCCUUCAUGAGACUGGGAAGCAGUUCCUUUACCUUCUUUGUUGUCCCAUUGUGGAGCUGGCUCCUCCAGCUCUCCCAGCAAUUCUAUGGGAAUCAUUCUCCAGUGAUUUCUCUUUUUGGAUGGCCUAAGUUGGAUUAUGUUGAUUGCAAUCACAGAAUUGUAUUACAUAUGUCAGUUUUUAACGUAUUUCCUUAACCUUAAAAUGCCACAAAUUUAAUAUGCAUCAUUAAGUUUUUCAGGGAAAAAGGAAGAAGCAGUCACACUAUAUUCAAUAUAUACACCGAUAGGCAAGAGGCAUACUGGUUUGAGAAAUGUGAAACAUGAGAAGUAGAAUGUAAAAAAAAAAAUGUGUGUGUUAGAAUUGAGGAAUUAUGGUACCCAUAUUAUCAUUAUUAAUAAAUUAUAUUAGAAUAGUAGUUAUGACAACUGAGUAUUUUAUGUACCUAGAACCCACAAGGAGUCAGGGAAGUAGGCCAAAGGACAAAGGAGUUGAUUCUAAAAUUCUCUUGAUUGCUUCUCUGAGAACUUCUCAAUUUAUUCCCCUUUUGGUAUAAGAAAUAUCUGGUUUUGACUGCCAGCUAAUUUCCAGAAGUUGAAGGCAGUUAUGGUUUAUUGUGAGUGGGAGGUUUGUAAGAAAAUAGCAGUGCAGCAGUAAGGAGAAGCUCUCUGAAGUUGUUCUGAAUGUACAGCUAAUGGGCAGUUAUCUAUGAGAGAGAUUUUUAUAGCUUCCUCCAUAUAGCUGGUGAAAAGUUAGCCUGGAUGUUGGGGGAGGAGCCUGUCAAUUUGGCUUCUUAUCAAACUCAACUUUGUUAAGCAGUUAAUUCUAAGGUGUUUUAUCCACUUAUUACUAAGGCAUGUAAGUCUGAGCUGGCAGCCUUGAUUAAUAGAUUAAUGAUCACUGCUCCCUACAAUGUAAUUGUCAUUGUGUCCCUAGAAGAACUACAAAUAUACCUCCGGGGUUAGGAUUAGGUGAGGGUGACUGUCAAGCAGCCAUAGAAGGUGUGAGGAUUUGGGACUGUUUAAAUGAAGACAAAGACAUGCCCUCAAGAAGCAAUUUUCCAAGCUGCUGUUUUGACUUGACAGUGGCAGAUACUUCAUUGGAAGAUGUUGUGAAAAUGAAAUGCAGCAGGAUCAAGAGGAGAGGGUCUAUUAGUCACUCAAAACUGACUUGUGCAGAUCUUGCAAUUCCAUUUGUAUUUCUGUCUCCCUAUCUGUAAAGCAAGAGAAAUUAUUCAUAAUUUGACUGUCAUUCAUAUCAUGCUAAGUGAUUUAGGGCUGCAUCUUCACAUGACCCAGCUUAUAACAGAUGGGCUGUAGAUUUAAUGAGGUGGUGUAUCCCUGCUCUAUCAUUUCCCAGCUCCAUAAGCAAGGGCAGUUAUGCAACUCUUUAUG